GAGUUUGAACCUGGCUCAGGAUGAACGCUGGCGGCGUGCCUAACACAUGCAAGUCGAACGGAGUGCCAAGGACAAACAUUUCGAUGGGCGGCUUUGGUAACUGAGUGGCGGACGGGUGAGUAACGCGUGGACAACCUGCCGUGUACAGGGGGAUAACAGCCGGAAACGGCUGCUAAUACCGCAUAUGCGCACAGUGCCGCAUGGCACAGGGCGGAAAACGAUAGUGGUACACGAUGGGUCCGCGUCUGAUUAGAUAGUUGGCGGGGUAACGGCCUACCAAGUCGACGAUCAGUAGCCGGCCUGAGAGGGCGGACGGCCACACUGGGACUGAGACACGGCCCAGACUCCUGCGGGAGGCAGCAGUGGGGAAUAUUGCACAAUGGGGGGAACCCUGAUGCAGCGACGCCGCGUGAAGGAAGAAGUAUUUCGGUAUGUAAACUUCUAUCAGCAGGGAAGAAAAAGGACGGUACCUGACUAAGAAGCCCCGGCUAACUACG
rnacentral:rRNA from 1 species